rnacentral:lncRNA from 1 species
UCUAAACUUCAUAAAUAGUCGCAAUCAACAUUGAACUUCACUCAUUUCUUUUGUCACCAUCUUUUCAGCCUGCACGUUAGAAAUUUGGCAUCAAGAACCAGAAUUUUAAGAUCACUCCGAAUAGUUAGGCAAGAAAUUUUAUUGGUCGUUUUUCCAUUACACCCGUUUAUAAAUACCAAAACACGAACGGUAUAAUAACAAUAAUUUACUUCAUAAUUUUGCAGGAUGCUUUUGUAGGAUGAGAAGAACAAAUAACUUGGUUGAAUACACUCGAGGACUUUGCUUUUUACGAAUUAUGAUGUUCUCUCGUGAUUCCCUUACGGCAGGGAAGAAUCGGGACGUGGGCAGAUAUGCAUUUCAAGUUGCUAAUGAAUAAAGGAAAAGUUAAAAUUCAUACUAUAAUAUCAAGAUUCCUGUCCUGUAGCAAUCAAUGAAUAAAUACUGAAAAGUUGAGCAUUUUACUGAAAAGAUAAAGGCAUUUCUUUGAUGGUCACUGUUAUUUCAUUCUCCUUUUUUCUGUGUGGUGUGCAAAUUCUGUAAAUUUUGGCAGUCUAUUACAACUAUUGCUUUUGCCUAAUGGAGGGGGCGCAGUCACGAAAGCGUGGAACUGGAAAAAGUAUGAAAUGUGAAUUACAACAGCCAAAUAUGCAAUCUCUUGUAAUUAUUGUAUGAAGUCCAAAUUACAUUCCAUUGCCUUUAACUUGAGCCAUGUUUAUUGGCCAAUCUACACGCUUUAGAAAAUAUGACAUGUACUAUCAAGCACCUAUUUGAC